rnacentral:lncRNA from 1 species
AGAGCUUUGCAGUUGUAGCUCCUAUACCACUGGCUCCUCCAGUGAUUAUAGCAACUCUGCCGUCCAGUCUGUAGAGAUCACAUAAGGUGAGCACUUUGGUUCUAAAACUGAUUCUUGCUUACUUCUUUCCAGAUGUGAAGGAGCUCGCAACUGUGUGGAAAGUUAUCUUGCGAGAAGUGGAACAAGAUCUCGUAGCCAGUCGGAGACGAUGAGGAGCUCCCACAAAUCGAGCUGUGAUACUCGUCAUUCCAGCCAGCAAGCAAAUAGCCCUCUCUCGAGGUACGCAAAAGAGAACUUUUAUCUGAGUCCUUGCUUUGUCUUGCCUGGUUUGUCAAUGAUUCCCUUCUUGUAGUUGGAAGAUUCUAUUCGGCUAAUGGAAUGGAGUGGCCCUGGCGCUCUUGAAUCACCUGUAAGUUCCCGUCUAUGUUUUUUUUUCGAUCUUCGGACGAUAGCUCGUGCGUGCACAGCUACGCAAAAAUCGAGGAAAUCCUCGGAUCGAAGAAACCCAUACCUCGAAACACGGCAGGAGCCUCGGCCAUGCUGCCAACAUAUCACCAUUGCAUUGCAUUAGAGACAAGGACAGGC